AACAGCCAAUAAGAAGCUAUCUGAUUCCCGCUCUAAGAACUGUGUUCGGUACUGUACUAGCGUCCCUCGAUGUAAAGCGGCCCAGCCGUUCGUCCAGAUCAUUAAAUUUGUUUAUGUUUAAUUAGUGUGUGAUUCUCUUAAUAUGAGCCAUCUCUACGCAUUAAUCUCAACUGGGCUUUCCCCUAGGGCCCGUGAGAGAUAUUUGAUAUAAUCCGAUUAGUAGAGGCAUGUUUUUCGAGCCAGAGUUAACAUACCUCUACAUGUGGGGGCUCGGUCCGGAGUGCAAUGACCUCGGAAAUAGAAAAAUAAUCUUUGAUCCUGUAAGAAGCUGGGAAUUUCACCAUUAGUUUUCGUCGAAUUAUCUUCGGAUUGGCAGUGGCCGACAAAAUAUUUCAAGAAAAGUCUUCGGAUCAGCAGUGGCCGACAAAAUAUUUCAAGAAAAGUCUUCGGAUCGGCAGUGGCCGACAAAAUAUUUCAAGAAAAUCUUCGGCUCGGCAGUGGUCGACAAAAAUUUUCAAGAAAAUCUUCGGUUCGGCAGUGGUCGACAAAUUUUUCAAGCAAAUCUUCGCUUCGGCAGUGGCCGACAAAUUGUGAAGUUCCUGCAUAUUAUCUCAACGGAUAUAAUUGAAGAAGAACAGGUUUCACUAAUGGGAUGUACUCUGCAGAAAGUCAGCACAUGUUCGUACAGUCAUUACUCAUAACAGAUGCUGUUCACUUCAAUGUAUGCCGUCUUAUUUGGAAGCUUGUGCAACGAUCUUGCCAACGCCGAGCAAGCAUUUCUACCUGAGGACACUUAAAUUUCUCUGAUUUUACUAAGUCUGGUAAAAGAACACAAUGGAGUGCAGCUAGUAAGCUCCAGCCUUGUUUGAUCUGAGCCUGCUGGCUGCUAAAAACUCCAGCUUCAGCUGCCAUCAUUGCUUGGACAACAUCAUCCUUAUUUUUUGCAUCUACACUACCAGGAGUACCAGGAGAUGAGGGCUGAGAAUUCACAGCUUUGCUAUCUGCUCGGCUCAGUCUUCUACAGAACAAAAAAUAUACUUUUAAAUACCUUUCCUGGUCUAAACAAAAACCAUGCAUGAAGAUAAAUAAUUAUAUUAAUAAAAUUUAUAACCGCUAAAACAAAAUACUUACAAACAUCA